CACCCUAUUCCCACCCAUUCCAACUAAAGCUAGAAAUCAAUUGGCCAUCGUCGUCACUACAACCACCACCACCCGUUGUCUCUACAAACCAAAACUAAAAGUCAUCAUCACCACCACUACCACCAUUAAACCUACAGUUAAAACCAAAAAUACCACCCCCACCAAAUUGUCCUACAUAUAUAAAAGGGCGAAGCAAAGGUGGGACACGUGUCGGCCAUGGAUUUCGUCUUGUAUUUUUUCUUUCUUCUUUAUUGUCUUGGCCGAAUCCCAAACUAAAUCCCAUACCGUUUGUGCAUUUCUUAAACUCCAUUGACCAUUCAUCUGCUAUUCUGAUUGAUCUCUGUAAAUUGAUUUUUCGUUUUCUCUCCUAUUGCUACGAAGAUACGAAAAAAAUGUGAAGAAAACAAAUUCACCUUACUGAGCAUGUAUCAUUUCUAUUCUAUGGACAAGGAAUCCCAGACAAAUUUAGAAGUUCGAAUAGCCUUGUCCAUUAGAAGAUCAUUGAGUGAUUAUUGAAGAUUUCUAGCUUCAAAUGUUUGUUAAGGCUGUAGAAAGUGGGAGGUCUCCUCAGUAGUGUUUGGGAUUGGAUGGACAGAAGAAUUCUCUAAUUUGUAUGUAAGUAUGUUUUGAUUUUUUACUCUUUUUAGUUAAUCAUCAAUUUUCUUAAGUUUCAUUUGAUUACCGGGCAUCGUAUUAAUUUUGUUAGAAGAUACCUUCCAAAUGAUGGUGAAUUAGCUUCAGAGAUAAUUUUGUAAAACUAUUUAUUGAAAUUAAUUUCUCUUAGUUAGAAAUGAAAUGAUUGUAAAUUUGACACUUGUAAUUUUGUAUUAAAAGGAUAUAGAAGGACAAAACUUGAGAAUAGUGAUUAUUAGAUGGGAUGAGGUGAAAGGGGUAGACGCUGGAGUAAUUAGUUAAAAAAGAGUUUAUAAUGUUGUUUAUGUGCAAUGACAUCUCCAGCGUGGAGAAUAUAAGCAUUUUUAAAAAAAAUAAAAAUAAUAAGAAUAAUAAUGGGAGCUAAAGCUCUGUGCAGAAGAAAAAAUAAUAAUGGGAGCUAAAGCUCCGUGCACGGACGGAGCAGAAGAAAAAAAAAAUAAUGGGAGCGAAAGCUCCGUGCCCACACGUGCAUCUGUCCAACACUCCGUGCUCAGCUCAUUGGAGAGGUAACUUCCACCCAACCUGCUCCUCAUGUCGCCUGAUGUGAAGGUCACAUACAUGCGUGAUAUCCUCCUCCGGUACUCCCCUGAAAGUGAGCGCAUCCGAGUCAGUAAAGUUGUAUUAAACUUGUAUAUGAUCUGUGUAUGAAUUAGAUGUUUUACCCGUCAGUUAUUGAAUUUUGUGGAAGGGCAAACUGUCUAAUUUCAGUGGGUGUGGGUCUAUAUAUAACAAUAAUCAUUUUUUGGAUGAAAAUUAUUAUUGAAUGAGAGAAAAAUACAAAAUUGGAAUUACGUUUUCAAUUUUCCGUCUAUAAACUCUUAUUGGUUAAUCUACCCAUUCAUUUUGUCAUGAGCAUGAGAAUUGUUGCUCUUUCAAUUAUAUAAAUCUUGUGUGGUGAGGGAAUGACUGAAAGCAAUAAAUAUUAGUUGCUUGUGUGUGUUGAAAUUCUCAGAAUUCUUGUUUCUAAGUGGUUUAGUGAUCUGGGUGUUUUGAAAGCUGUGUUCUGUAAUUGGAACUGGAGUUUUUGAAGGUUUUGUGAUGUGGGUUGAGUGUUUAUCAAGAAGGCAACCUGGAUAUUGGCAAUUGUGGUUUGGUUUUAACUGGAAAUUGAUUACUGGGUCCUCUACAGAUCUGAUUGCGAGGCAGACAAUUCUGAAUGAGCUUCACAAAAAAAUUGAAUCUUUUUGCCAUUGCUAAGAAAUUGCAGUUCAUUUUAUAUGUCAAUGGGCAGUGAUACAUACAUAGAUCCCGCUAAUUUCUCGAUUUGAGUUUGGAUUUUGUGAAGCAAACUUGGUUAUAUCAAAAGUGAAAACUAGAUGAUAUUAGGUUGGAGACUUUGUUGCCUGAUAAUUGAAUUGUUUGCAGUCCAGGAUGGACUUUGGAUGAAGUUCUUGAAUUCUUGAAGUACAUUGAAAUAUAUAGAUGUGGAAAUGGUGGAAUUUAAUUAAUUUCGGAUGCCUAUUAGAUGGCAUCUACAUCUCCUUCCCCAAAUUCUCCACCCGUCGCUGUUCCACCAUCUUCUUCUAACGCUCCCUCUCCGCAGCCUUCCUCUCUGCCUCCUGAUCCUCUAAAUUCAUCAACACCAUCUCAGCCCAAUUCAACUGCAUUACUUCUCCAGUCGUAUCUCCACCACCGCAAUCACCUCCUUCCAAUAAUGUAACAGAAACUCUUCCAGUCUUACUAGUGUCCCCUCCUUCGUCUCCCCCUCCUCAGCCUACACCUUCACCUUCAACCAAUUCACCAUCACCAUCUUCCAGUCCUCCUCCUCCAACACCUUCUGAUCCACCUACAAAGCCUCCUCCUCGUCCUCCUAAUCCACCAGCUACCUCAUCACCUCAACCAGCUCAAAAUGUGGGCAUCUGCCACGGAAUAUGAUUUGAUAUCUCAAUGAUUGGGAGUCUAAAGAAGUUGGAAAUUCUCACUUUUUAUCAUUAUUAUCUCUAUUUUGAUUUUCCCACUAAAAUAGCAGAACUUAGCGACCUAAAGUUACUGGAUUUGAGAUUUUGGACAGUCCCCUGCCCACUUCCACCUGGUGUUUUAUUGGGUAUGAAAAAACUGGAAGAGUUGUACUUUGGAGAAUACUUCGAAAUGAGAUGAAGAAAAGGGGUACAUUAUUAAAGAGAUAAAUUCACUGACUGCUCUUAACACUUUCCAAAUUCCCACAGAUGAUACUCAGUUUUUGAUGCAAAUAUUACAAGUAUUGUGUGUUGAGAACUUGAAAAGAUAUGAAAUCCCCAUGGCCGAAGAAAGGGACUCGGUACUGGAAAUUAUCAUGUCACAAGGAGGCUGGACUUCCUAGAUGGUAUUGACGCAGGUACUCAUUUGCUAUGUGGAUUUAACUCAUUAAUGAGGACAGGUUACCAACUUUAUAUUGUAAAAUCAACAGCUUGGAAUACGCUUGUGAAUGGGCUAGAUAAAGAUGGUUUCUUUAACUUGAAGAAGCUGAGGCCAUCAAGUAGUGAUUUUGAGUACAUUAUUGAUGCGACAUACUCUAUUCCAAGUGGAACCUUCUGUAAUCUGGAGCUUCUUAAAUUGGAAGGUCUGCAUAAUCUCAUACAGAUAUGCAAUGGAAAUCUUCCAAGAAUGGAACAUUUUAGGAGUCAGUUGUUUCUUUGCUGUUACCUGGACCCUUUUCCCAAACACUAUUAAGUUUGCAAAUGACAUGAAAUUUUAUUGCAUUAA